rnacentral:rRNA from 1 species
AAAUGUUUACAUUAGUAAUGUAUUAGAUAUGUAAUGUAUUAUUUCAUCAUUAUUAUGAUGGUAAGUAUAUAAAGAAACUAUUACGGAUAAAUACAGCUAUAUAUUAAAGACGUAUAAGAUAAAGUGUUCUUGGAAAAAUCCAUUUUUUAAACGAAGCGAAUUGAAAUAUCUUAGUAGCUUCAGGAAUAAAAAUCAAAUGAGAUUCCAUAAUUAGCUAUAACUGUUAUGGAAAAGCCUUUAAAGUAAAACGGAAAUAAUCUGUUUGAAUCUAGGGAAACCUUUCUCUAAGGCUAAAUAUGAUAUAUAAGCGAUAGCGAAGCAGUACCGUGAGGGAAAUUUUUGAAAUAGUAGUUUUAUAAGCAGCUCAAGUUUAAUUUAAAAGUAUAAUGAGAGCGUACCUUUUGCAUAAUGGGUCAGCAAGUUAAUGUUAGAUGCGAGACGGGUUCACAAAAGAUUAAGGGGUCAAACUUACUUACUUUUACUUUUACGAUAAAAAGGACAGUUUUAGGCUUAGCCGGUUUUUGGCUUAGCAGCCUUUUUGGAUGUAAAGAUAAGAGUAAACUGAGAAUGAUUACCUAAAUGAGUAAGGUAAAAUAAUAUAAUUUUUACUUAAAUGAGUAAUAUUAUCGCCUUGUCCUAGAUAAACCAAUUAUUAAUUAAUGAUUAAGUAUCUAAUGUUAGACCCGAAGCCUAGUGAUCUUACCAUGAUCAGGGUUAUAAAGGCCCGAACGGGUUAUCGUUGUAAAGAUAUCCGAUGAAUUGUGGUAAGUUAGUGAAAGACAAAACUGACUAGGAUAGCUGGUUUUCUGCGAAACCUAUAUAAGUAGGUAAUGUAAAUAACAUCAUAGCAGGUACAGAACUGUGAUCUCGGACAAAUUAUGUUGUUUUCUUAACGAUAGCAACAUGGUUUUGUAUACAUCGGGGAAUCGUGAAGAUUUUAUCGGCGAGAAUUUGCUCUCGGAAGGGCAAUGAUGGAUUUUGCAUAAUCGGACAUAGUACGAUAAGGUUGUAUGUCUAAAGGGAAACAGCCCAGAACAAGAGUUAAAGGUUCCAAAAUUAUUGUUAAGUGAAAAUAAGGAAGUUUUCUUCAAAUACAACCAGGAAAUAGGCUUAGAAGCGGCCAUUUUUUGAAGACCUCGUAACAGAGCACUGGUUUAACAUUAAAAGUUGAAAGCACCGAAAAUUUAACGGAUCUAAAACAAUAUACCGAAACCUUGUCUAUAAAUAAAUAUAUUAAGACGGAUUUAUUUUUUUUUCAAGAAAAAGGGAAUAAAAAUUAUUUUUAUCUUAAGUAUUUUUAUUUAUGGGGUAGCAGAACGUUGGGCAUGUCUUAGAUUUAAUAUUUUUAAUAUUGAGUAGGUUCGGCAGAUAAAAAGAGAUCGCUGUACAAAAACAAAUAGGUCCUACACUUAUUAAGUAAAACAAGUAGGUUGUAGGUUCAACGCUUAUUUGUUCGAGGCUGAUAGAUACACUGUCGAAUAAGAUGACCCCAAGUGAGAAUGCUGGCAUGAGUAACGAAAAAGGGAUAGCCCCUCGCCUUAAGCUUAUGGUAUUUAAAUAAAGUAACGGCCUCUAAGUUUAUAAUUGUCCUAAAGGAUUAAACGAUGAGAAAAAUCUUAAGUCUUGAUAGAGGUCUAACAACAUUGUGAUAUUUUGAGUACACAAUGUUCUGGAAAAGGACCUUAAAAUGUAAUAGUACGUCAUGUAAUGUAAUGUACUGGUCGCUUAAAAAGCGUAUAUAAACUUUACAUUUGACUAACCGUACCUAGAUACUACCACAAGUAAGCAAGUAGAGUAUACAAAGGCGUUUGAGUUAACAAUCAUUAAGGAACUCGGCAAAAUGACACCGUAACUUAGGGAUAAGGUGUGCCAUUCUUCUUAAGUAAUAUUAAGUUAAGGAUAGGAGGCAUAGAGUGGUGUUGUACGACUGUUUAAUUAAAACAAAGCACUUUGCAUAAGAUGACAAAUCAAAGUAUUGAGUGUGAAUUCUGCCCAAUGUUGGCUGGUUAACGAAGAUUCUUAGCCGACUAAUAUAAGCUAGGUUUUGAAGGAAACCCCAAUCAAUGGCGGCCUUACCGAUGAGGGUCCUAAGGUAGCGGAAUACCUUGGCCGUUAAAUGCGGUCUUGCAUGAAUGAUUUAACGAUACAACAGCUGUCUCAAUGAUUGGCUCAGUGAAAUUGGAAUAACUGUGCAGAUACAGUUUACCUCUAGUUAGACGAGAAGACCCUAUGCAGCUUUACUGUUUGUAGUUAUUGGAUACAAUGGAACAAGUUGUAGCGUAUAAGGUAGUUGAUAAGAUACAAUUGAAACACCUUUACUUAGUUUAUUGUAUAAGCAAUGCAACUGCCGAGAAGAAGAAGGAAGAUUUUUGUUUGCCUUUUGUUAAUAGGUGUUUGUGUAGUAUUGGUAAAGAUCACAUGAUCACUUGUGUGGUCUUAGUAUAGAUGACUAUGAUAAGCUUUCCACCCGAAGUACCAGUAUCAGACGCAUAUAUACGUGCUUAUACCACAAACACUGAUUUGAUAACCUAGUAAUGGUCAAGCUACAAUUAAGGACCAAUGGUUAUGAGUCGGGUAGAGAAGUUGCAAAGCUAAUCCUAUAAAAGAUAUAUAUAAAAAUAUAUAUGUUUGGAAACAUUGGCUAUUAGACAGUUUAUGCGGGGCACAGAUCCCACAAAAAGUACCUGGGUGUAUCCAAAGUUAAUUUUGUAAAUUUAUUGGCAAUAAUAAUUUGCCGAUAGAUAAAUAUAUUAUAUAGCAAAAGCUUUUGCUUUUAGCCUGUAUAAUGUAUUUUUAUUUUAAUCUGUAAUGUAUUGCUUUCAAUAUAUUCAGUUAUUUAUCUAUUAAGUUAGAUUUAUUUAUUUUUUUUAAGUAAGAUUUUAACUAUAUGGAAAAUAGAUGUAAAUAAAACACUAAAAGUAGUGUAAAAAACUACAAAAAGGGUAGUGUUUUAGUUUAUUUUCUUAAUAUGCUUUUGAUAUUAAGGAAAUGAUUAUUAUUUUACUUUAAAAGUUUAAUGGCUUAAUCUUGCUUUACUGUUUGACUUACACGUCUAUCAGUUGCGUAAGCAGGGCAUAUGAUCACAAGAUGCAUAAAGGAAAGGUCUUGGAUUUUUGAAAAAGCUACGCUAGGGAUAACAGGCUAAUUGCGCCAGAGAGUACAAAUUGAGUGCGCAGUUUGGCACCUCGAUGUCGGCUUAGCUCAUCCACAUGAAUGCAGGAAUCAUGAAGGGUACGACUGUUCGUCGAUUAAAGAGCUACACGAGCUGGGUUAAAUACGUCGUGAGACAGUAUGGUUUCUAUCUUCUAGAGGAAAUUAGAGUAAAAUAAGGAUAGCCCCUUCGUACGAAAGGAGUUGGGUAUGGUAACCUCUGGUUUACCUGUUGUUUAUGUAUCCAAUAUUAUGUUAUAGCCGCUUUGCAAUACAAAGUAGGUUAAGGAUAUUUACAGUUACUCAUGUAUAUAUAUAUAUCAUAGGCACGGCAGGAAACCCACGUUAGCUAUAGAUAAGUGCUGAAUGCAUAUAGGCGCGAAGCUUAGCUUAAGAUACUCUUAAAUAUACGUGGUAUAAUACCACGAGUACUAGUGUAAGCGUGUGUGCGUUAUACAUUAAUACUGUAUAGGCUUUUGCUUUAAGGAUUUUGAUGUCUUCAGGUAAAAAGUACUAAUU